GAUCCUGGCUCAGAUUGAACGCUGGCGGAAUGCUUUACACAUGCAAGUCGAGCGGCAGCGCGGGGCAACCUGGCGGCGAGCGGCGAACGGGUGAGUAAUGCAUCGGAACAUGUCCAUGUCGUGGGGGAUAGCCCGGCGAAAGCCGGAUUAAUACCGCAUACGCUCGAGAGAGGAAAGCCGGGGACCGCAAGGCCUGGCGCGAUUGGGUUGGCCGAUGUCCGAUUAGCUUGUUGGUGAGGUAAAGGCUUACCAAGGCGAUGAUCGGUAGCUGGUCUGAGAGGAUGAUCAGCCACACUGGGACUGAGACACGGCCCAGACUCCUACGGGAGGCAGCAGUGGGGAAUUUUGGACAAUGGGGGCAACCCUGAUCCAGCCAUUCCGCGUGAGUGAAGAAGGCCUUCGGGUUGUAAAGCUCUUUUGUCCGGAGCGAAACGGGCGCGGCUAAUACCUGCGUCCACUGACGGUACCGGAAGAACAAGCACCGGCUAACUACGUG
rnacentral:rRNA from 1 species